rnacentral:rRNA from 1 species
UACGUAGGGGGCAAGCGUUGUCCGGAAUCAUUGGGCGUAAAGCGCGUGUAGGCGGCUCGGUAAGUCCGCUCUGAAAGUCCAGGGCUCAACCCUGGGAUGCGGGUGGAUACUGCCGGGCUCGAGUCCGGAAGAGGCGAGUGGAAUUCCCGGUGUAGCGGUGAAAUGCGCAGAUAUCGGGAGGAAUACCAGUGGCGAAGGCGGCUUCCUGGCCUGUUCUUGACGCUGAGGCGCGAAAGCUAGGGUAGCAAACGGG